UACGAAGGGGGCUAGCGUUGUUCGGAAUUACUGGGCGUAAAGCGCGCGCAGGCGGCUAUCCAAGUCAGUGGUGAAAUCCCGGAGCUCAACUCCGGAACUGCCAUUGAAACUGUUUAGCUUGAGUACGAGAGAGGUGAGUGGAAUUCCCAGUGUAGAGGUGAAAUUCGUAGAUAUUGGGAAGAACACCGGUGGCGAAGGCGGCUCACUGGCUCGUAUCUGACGCUCAGGCGCGAAAGCGUGGGGAUCAAACAGG
rnacentral:rRNA from 1 species